UUUCUUCCUUUCCUUAAACCCCUAUCCUAAUUCUACUCUCUCUUCUUUUUAGGACUUCUUUUAAUUGGUUGUCCAUUUUUGUCGGUCAUUACUGUCCUUAUCCGUCGUGUCUGUAACUCAACUUGUCUCUUUGAUGAACCGACCACAUUGUAAUCUUUCAAUCGGUGUUGUUCUUCGAUUCAAUUAUGCUUCUGCUUUGAUUUUCUUCUUUUUUUUCUUCUUUGGAUUUCUGCAUCUGCUUCUGGUUUUGUUAUCGUUCUCAUUAUGCUGAUAGGGCUUUCGGUUUUGUCACCGAAACGUUGUCGUUUCCAUGUGUUAGCACUCGGAAAUUCCAAAGCCUUUUUCAUGGGAGAGUUGCAGAAAUUUUGGCGGGUAUAUGAUGAUUGCUUUUCGCGGUAGGGAUUGUAGUGUUUUGGUAGAGUUGUGGCGAUAAUGCUGGACGAUAGUUUUUUCUUUUCGCGGAAAUUUGGUUCUACUGAUGAUAUGAUGGAGUGGAAAUCUGUGGUUGUAUUUUGUUUUAUUUAGAUUUCGAUUUAGUUACUUUUCUGCUCUUGAUACUCCUAAGUGGUGGUAAAAUUGUUAGGAAUUAGUUUGAACGUGCAAACACAAUAGUUUAUUGUUGAUGUAGGCAUUUGGAUAUACUAAAUUUCAUAGAACAGCUUGCAUUUGUGGGAUUCUCUGAAUGAUGAAGUAGCUCACAAACUGCGCCGGAAUCUGGAUGUUUGUAGAUGAACAAAUUAUUUUUAUAAAAUAAUUUUCCAGUAUUAUGUUUGUUAUUGAAGUUCUAUUAAUUGUAUAGUUCUUGCAGUAUGAAUAAACGUGCAUAACUGAGAAAGAUGCUUGCAAAGGGAUACAUGUCAGAGCAGCUCUUUGGCCACACACCAAACUAUCCUUUCUCAAAAUUUGCAAAUCUGUCUCAGUUCAGAGAAAAUGCUUUAAAUCGGUAUCCAACAAAUGAUAUGACUAGCCUGAGUAACUGGCGCAAAAAUCCCAGAAUCAGUUGCUUUCGUGAUUUAGUUAGAGAGGAAAUUGCUGAAAGCUUUGAAUUGGAAGAAAAUCAUCAAGUGCAAGAGGGAGAAUCUAAUCUAGUAAAUGUCUUAGAACACAAAUUAUUUGCAGAAGCUGCUUCAGAGUGUGUGUUGAUGAAUUCAUGGACUUAAUGGAAUGGAGGAUCGCCAAUUCAACAAUCUGUACCAACGAAUGUACCAAUGAAGGCCCAGGAACUCUAUCCCAUAUUCAUCUGUUUCUAAGGUUUUGAGUGGGAUAUAAUGUCAAGAUGGAUGAAGAAAGUAAAGAUUCUGCCAGAUGGAGAUUGGGAUUUCUCGGUUGAUUCUAUGCUUUGCGAGUCAAAUUCAAGACUAAUCCCAUCUGGUUUUGCUAGUUCAAAUUGCACAGGUUUGGAAUGAACUUGCAUGCCUCAAGUGAUGAUCCAUUGUUACUGGAAUAGAUGGGCAGGCCUGACCAGGAAAGCCCAGUGCUUUGGUUAUUGUCUCAAAUCUCCUGUUGGAUUGAUCUCCUUUCUAAGGUAUCUAUUUGAAAUAAAAUGAUAGAUGCGAUUUCAUCUCAUGGAUAGAUGAAAGAAAUGAGAAUAAACUGUUUUAAAUGAUUUUAAUUAUUGUGCUUGUGUUCUUUUUGUUGAAGAUAUUUUUAUGAAUUAAUUUAAUUCAUCAAUCCUAAUCAUUGCUAGGCUAUUUCAUUUGCAAA